AACGAACGCUGGCGGCAUGCCUAACACAUGCAAGUCGAACGAGACCUCCGGGGCUAGCGGCGCAAGGGUGCGUAACGCGUGGGAACCUGCCCUUAGGUUCGGUAUAACUCCCCGAAAGGGGUGCUAAUACCGGAGAAUGUCUUCGGACCAAAGACUUAUCGCGUUUGGAUGGGCGCGCGUUGGAUUGGCUGGUGGGUAGGGUACAAGCCUACCAAGGCGAGGAUCCAUAGCUGGUCGGAGAGGAUGCUCCGUCACACCGGGACUGAGACACGGCCCACUCUGGGACGGAGCGGAGGAGAAGAGAAUAUUAGGCGCUGAAGGCUGACCUAGCCCAGCCGUGUCGGGUAAGAGAUGAUGGCCUUAGGAUUGUACUGCUCCUUUACCCGGAGUGAUAAUGACAGUACCGGGAGAAUAAGCUCCGGCUAACUCCGUG
rnacentral:rRNA from 1 species